ensembl:lncRNA
GAUUCAGUUCAUAAGAUAGAUUCGUUCGCGAAUCAGACGUCACACGUGAUGUCACCACGCUCGCUCUUCUUCGAUGGUUUGCGGCAGCGCUAUAAAUGCUGGCGCGCUACUGUGCGCGCUCUCUCAGUUCUGCGAUGGUUCAGCGGGAGUGCGCUAGAGCUUACAAAAAUGAGAAAGUCAGGCGGUUACAAGAAGGAGGCUGAAUGUGCUCUGGAUUUACUCCAGAUGAGGACUCUCCAGCUGCUGUAGCUCCGAUGUCACACAAGACCCCAAAAUGCCUCGAUCCCAACGGCCAGUACUGCUGAGGAUGAGGUAAAUAAGAUUGAGAAUUUGAAAGGUCCAUCGAGAUCAUCCUAUUGUGGGUAAGCUUUAAUCAUAACUUCAGUGUUGUGAACCAAGUUGAUACCAUCAUAGCAGAAGCGUUUCUCUGUGAUGUCUUUUAAUCUUGGGAUAGCAUAUGCAGGGUUGGCACUGAUUUUUGUUGAGACGGUCUGCAAAAAUCUGACAAAGAAGCCUGCUACACUUUAUUUAAACUAUUUACUGUUGAAUUUCAUCAUUUGUUUGACACCUCUUUCUGUUGUUGUAGGAAACAUGUGUGAAGAUCUUCAGAAAUCACGUUUUCUGUUCCAGCUUUUUUUUAAAUGUUAAAAGGGAUCAGUGCUCACUGUUAACAUUAUACAUAAAUGUAUUGUACAUGGUUACAAAUAUAAAAUCUUCCUUUAGUGGAGAUUCCUAGAACAGGGUUCUUCUUUUGUUCCUAGAGAGCCACUUUCCUAAAAUUAAUUUUUAUCAGAUUGGCGCUUAGUCAUCAUGGGAAUGACAUGCAGAUUGACAUAAAAAUAUCAAGGAUUUUUGCAUAAGGCUGCAACAAAAUGUGGAAAAUUAAGAGGUUUUGAAUGCACUGUUUAGGAUGUGUCCAUUCCUGCUUCUGGAGUGCCACUUUCAGCAGUUUAGCCCUAGCCCCAGUUAAACAUGCCUGAAUAAAGGUGUUCUGGAUCACUGGUCUUUCAAGCGUCUUUGGACCGCUCUUCUCUAGCAUUGUUUAAACAUGAGGCUGCUAUACGAAGACAAUGAAUGAGAUGUCUGAAAUGGUACAAUGUUUGAGUUGUCAGUUCUGUUAUUGUUUUUAAACACUGGACAAUAAAAAUGUAUGGAAGUGUUAAUUUGUCUGAAUACUUGAAACAAAGUUUUAAAACUUGCCCUGAGGUCUAGGUUUUUAAAUGAACCCACUAAAAAGCACUACCUGGGCCUCUCCUGUAUCAUCUUGUCUGCCAGGCCUCAGGUUUGAGGAAGAAUGAAGUGAAUACUGAGAGGAUGUCUCCCUCUACUGGAUUUACAACGUAACAAAAGGACAGUGGGAGAGGAUGGUUAUGCAUUUGUUCAUAUUUGAUCUGCUUUAGUCACUGUUUUGUGUAAUAUGGUUUUCACCUAAUGAUUGUCUCUGGACAAUGAGUUCUUAGCUGACUGUAUGUACACAAUAUGCCUGGUGUUUGAUCAGCUGUGCUGUAACUUGUAUUUAACCCUAUAAACUCUAAAAGUAGAUCAGUCCAAAAAUUAAAGUUUUAUUUUCUUUAUUAUUAUUAAACGUAGUGAAGCCUCUCCUUUCACGUCCAUUAAAAAAGGCUGCUUGAUUCCUCCCUGUGUACUGCCUGUAUAGGUCUUUGUAUUGAAUAAUAAAUGUCCUUCUUGAGACAUCUUUACACAGCUAAGUUAAGGCUGCUUUGUGCCUGCUCAGAGUUCUGUGUAAUGCUGCAUUAAAGCCAGACUGAUUUAAGGCUGCUCUGACCCACCUCGGUCCCGAGUGUCAAAACAUACAGUUGUGUUUGAUGUGUAAAGGCAUUUAUGAUACCUCUGAGCAACAUUAAACUGUAAAAACAUCUAAAUGCCACUGCAAAGCUGCUUGUAUGCCGCCUGGGAAGUGUAAAUUUGGCAUGCCUUAAAGUGGCUUUGAGUUGGAGGAAGUGGUGUGGUCACAUGCAUCUGAGUCUCGGGGAAACUUUUUUUAUGUAACCGACUUUUUUUUUUAAUGAUGAGAUAAAAAUGGUGCAGGAUUUGUUUUUAUUGAAUAUCUCAGAAGGAGAUGUGGAUGUAUUAAUAUCUAACACGUAUACACAAAAAAUAUAUAACUAUUACCUAAGCUUCUCUUAAGAAGCAGCUGUUUUACUCAGAUGGAUCUUUUUACUCAAGAUCAAGUUUCCACUCAGUCGGUGGCUCAGGGAGGUUUUUAAUAAUAUACCCAUGGAAUGAGCUUUAUAAAGGGAAGUGAGAGCACUUGUGUUAAGCUUUGUCCCAGCUAACAUUGCAAUUUCUUGAAGAAAUGUUUUUCUACAUCCUCUUGGAGCACUUCAGGGGGCUCCCAUCUUGGCUAAUACUUCAUAGUCAGGGCUAAUUAGUGAUUGUAGAUGAAUAAUGCUGUACUUUUUUAGUAUUGUGUUAUAGCAUGUAUGUUCUGUCCCUG